GAAAUUUAAGGUAGCGAGUGGGAUUAGAUACCCCAGUAAUCUUAACUGUAAACGAUGGAUACUCGGAAUAAUAUAUAAAUAAUAUUUUGUUCCUUAGCUAACGCGUUAAGUAUCC
rnacentral:ncRNA from 1 species